ensembl:lncRNA
AAAGAAUGAAAAGUUCUGAAAUAGAGUUGGAGGGGUUUAGGGCCCUGCCUGUCCGGUGUGCUGGAGAUGGGAGAGUCAUGGCCUCCUGUGGUGGAUUAACUAAUGGUCAACUUGUAACGCUCAGCUGAACUGAAUCAGCGUGGUGUAGGUGUGGAGGAUCCACCUAAAGAUUGUUACCAAUAGCCAUAAAAAGAGAACUGGAGGGGAAGAUCUUGGCCUGUGGAGAAGCUUGCUGCAGAUGGUUUUCCUGAUGCAAACUAGGCUGUUCUCGUUGGAAGAGGAGCUCAGGGCCUUGCUGUCACUGGGAAUGGCUGCUGUUUUCAUCAGGGGAGCUCUGAUCUUCACCAUGAGCAUCACUUCUUGGCUCCAAUGUGGAUCCCUCAGCGUGGUGGCACAAACCCUUCAUCUCACCAGCAAACAGGAGGAGAGGGGCAUGAGGGAGCCUGACAGGAAGUGAGGAUUCGAGACUUCAAAUACAAACAUUAUGAAAAACAAGCAACAUCUGCAAACAAAUUCCAGAGGUUUACGUCCUGCCCUCCACAACAAACCCUGAGGAGGAUGGAUAAUUGUUCUGGGCUUUAUUAUGGCAUCUAGGGAAGCUUAUUUUUUAAUAGAGAUGUUCCACCAAGAAUCAGGCUAUAUACAAUGAGCAGUACUGCACAUUCACUGGACUAGACAUAAGCAGCCUGGAGAGGAGCAUUUUUGUCAAAGGAACCUCAGUCUCCAAUAAGGGCUGUUGAUCAGGGACCCUUCAAUCAGACUGAUAAUUCUAAUUUAUCAGAAUGCUUCUACUGUAUGGAGCAGCAGCUUCGUGCUCCUCCUGGCUUUUCUUAUGAAGUGGAGCAGCAGUUCAAAAACCAACAUCAAGUUCCUAGAUGUCUUCCUGCUAUAAUUGGAUUUAAUUCAUUAUCUUUCAUUUCAAUAAAAUCACAGGAAAACACAGGGAUGUAAAUGUGUAGGCUAAUUGCUUAUGGAAAUUCAGGUGCCACACUUGGUAUAAACUUACCCCUUGCAAAAGCAAGACACAGUUGUGUCAUUAUCAUAGAAUUUUACAACAAUAUGUAAUUAUGGAGAGAAGCAGGUGUAAUUAUCAAGUCUUUCCACAAAGCAGGUAGCAUUCUUGGUUAAAUAUUUACAGCUACACCAACAGCUGGCAAUAAUGAGAGUUUUCUCAGCCGCCCAUUACAGAACACCCAACAAAUAUUAUGAAAAAUGGUCAUUAUGAACCCGGGAAGCGUUGCUUUGCCUUCUUGCCGGCAAGGGAUGCUUCUGUGGAGCUUGCAAGACGGGAAUUCAGGCUGAAUCAGCAGCGCAGUUUCAAUGGUGCUGAAAACAAGAAACGAAGAUCUCCUUUUCCCUUGCUGCUGUAGAGAGGAGCAAUUAAAGCUGCAUAUUUAGAGAUGACAUCAGCCAGGAGUCCUGCACAGAGAGAAAAAUCCAUUGCAUUUUCCCCCCUUCUUUCUUUUUCUCGUUCCUUUUUCUGUCCAAAGGAAACCCACGGCAAACUGCAAAGAUGCCGAAAGCUGCAGGCAAAGGAAGCAAACUCCAAACUGCCCACCAAGGGUCAGCCAGACCUGCAGCUGUUGCACAAAAUAAAAUCAACGCAGCCCACCCUGGGCAAACACCCUGUGUGGCUCUUUUAUUACCAAGUGAUAUGAACUUUGACCCAACCUGAACAAAAUUUAAUAUUUUCUCCCAAAUAUUUAAAAAAUUCAUUCUGGGGCUCUCAAGGAGUCAGAGAGUCUGCGAGCCGUAAUUUGACAUCUGAAUUAUUCUGAGGCUAAUACGGAAAGCUAUUCAGAAGCUUAUUUGGAGAUGUGUCAAUCAAGAUAUCACUUGUGCAGGGAAGAUGGACUCGGGCUUAGGAGUGCAGAUAGCUUUCAGGGAACCUCAAAAUAAAAGGCAGCAACCUCUGAUGAAUACGUUACGUCUUCAUUCUCGACAAUGACAUUUUUCUUUUCUUGCUACAGCAUACAGACCUAAGAGAGCUGUGUCCCAGGCAUGUGCCUUUUUCCACACCUGUAAAAACACUUUAACAUUUAUUAAAAAUGAUAACCAUAAACAACAAACAUGGUGUCAAAACUCGCCUCUGUUAAUUUCAACGGACUGAUUAAGAUUUUAAGCAACGCUUCUAAAUUAGACUGUCAGGCUGCCAUCCUCCAGGCAGGGUUGGGGUUCUGAUCCAGGGCAGGCUUGUUUGAGCAAGUAGGCUUUCUGGGUUGAUUGUGAACCAGGCUGGCGAUACUCAACGUUCUUUCAUUCAUUUCCGAUGAGUUGGGGGUGAUUCAAUUAGCCCUGAUUGUCGGAGAGAUGUGGCCCGAAAUAAACCGUCUGGGCUCUGAGCGCCUCCUCGCGAGGUAUUUCCCAGCUGACAAGUAACAAUGUUAAUUACCUAUUGUUAUGAUCUGAAGAGAC